CUGCUUUCCCCUUUCUUUCGACUCUAUUCCCUGUUUUGCAGGAAUAAUGGCUACAGCGCCAGCUGAUAAUUCCGGACUGUCUUACCGGAACAACCAGACCCAAAUGAAAGCAUCGGGGCAUCUGGAUCAAUACUCUUCUUGCAGUUACUUAAAUACUUGAAUGUGAGAACAAGAUUUAAUCGAAUAAUACUAUGAUUUCUGCAAGAUCUUGUUAACGAGACCCAUGGGGCUUCAGUUUCAGUGACAUUCAACAUGCAAGACUAAGAAGCUCUUAAUUACCAUGUGCCAAAGAAUGUUUUGUGGAAUCAGUUUUCAUCUUUUCAUCGGCUUCUUCAGUAUGGAUGAUCACUGGGGGAACAGUUUAAGAAAUCUGAAAUGAAGCUGUUUUGUUUUGGGUUUUUUUGUCACUCUGGAAAUGCCAAGACCUGAAAUUUGGAGGCAUGUAGACAGAAACUUUGGAUUGUAUUAACAUGGAAUUAACUGA